AUUGAACGCUGGCGGCAUGCUUUACACAUGCAAGUCGAACGGUAACAGGCCGCAAGGUGCUGACGAGUGGCGAACGGGUGAGUAAUGCAUCGGAACGUGCCCAGUCGUGGGGGAUAACGCAGCGAAAGCUGUGCUAAUACCGCAUACGAUCUAUGGAUGAAAGCGGGGGACCGUAAGGCCUCGCGCGAUUGGAGCGGCCGAUGUCAGAUUAGGUAGUUGGUGGGGUAAAGGCCUACCAAGCCGACGCUCUGUAGCUGGUCUGAGAGGACGACCAGACACACUGGGACUGGGACACGGCCCAGACUCCUACGGGAGGCAGCAGUGUGGAAUUUUGGACAAUGGGCGCAAGCCUGAUCCAGCAAUGCCGCGUGCAGGAAGAAGGCCUUCGGGUUGUAAACUGCUUUUGUACGGAACGAAACGGUCUGGGUUAAUACCCUGGGCUAAUGACGGUACCGUAAGAAUAAGCACCGGCUAACUACGUGCCAGCCGCCGCAGUAAUAC
rnacentral:rRNA from 1 species